GAACUUUCGUACCUUAUUAUUAUUAUUAGCCUAAAGAUAAAUAAUAAGUGAUCGUUGUAGUAUUCGAAAUCUGCCAUUUUCAUGUAUAAUAAUUGAUCUUGGAAUUAUAAAUAAUCGUUGCUUCGUUCUCGAAUGAAUAUUUCAAGUAAAAAAAAAAAUAACACCAAAUAAAAAUUUAUAAUGUCCGACAUAUCUCCGAAGUCCGCUAAAUUACUAUUAUACAAAUUUAUCAAAUCCUUAUCUAUUACAAUUAGGGAAAAGUUCACGCAGCCCGUUCAACGGUCGUGCUCGUACUCCAAGAAAGUCCGGUACAUCAUCAGGGAAGACUAUGGAUGCUAUUUGUUUUCCUACACCAAAGCCACGAGCUUAAACUGGGUUUUUCCUACACCAAAUUAAACAAAUAAGUAAAUAAAUAUAAUACUUAAAUAAUAAAAUAAAAUAAAAUAAAAAGAAGAAGAAAGAUGGGAUAAGAAUGUUAGCAACUUGCUGCACAACUUGAUACCCACGCCACUUUCACAGCCAUCUUUUAUACAUAUAUGUAGAUAUACAAUCUUUUUCACCACCACUCCAUGAAUCUUCCCCAAAUCUAUCAACUACCUUCCCUUUAUAAUCUGCCAUUCACAAAUCAGUUUCCUAAUUCUACCAACAAUCUGGAAAGAAAAGAAAUAGAGAGGAACCGUGAGUUCAAGACUCCGGUUUUGAUCUGUGGUUAUCUAUUCAACAAAGUUGAGGAGGAACUGACAAUUGAAAUAGAUACAGAGGGAUUCAUCAAGUUGCUUCUUUUUCACGAUCUGUCAAUUGAAGGUAUACUCCCUCCAAAUUUCGAGUUUCAAUCAUCAGUUUAUGCAUAAACAUACCAUCAUCCGAACUAAUCGCAUAACUCAAGCAAUUAACACAAUUGAACACUCCCACGAUUAAAUCGAAAUGCGAAAGAACUUGGUAAAGAAAACUUAUCUUUCGGGGCGGAACGGGUUAGUUCCGGGACGUUUCGGGGCUGUUCGGAGUUGUUCGGGGCUGCGCGGUGUCGGUUCGGGGUGGACUCGGAGUCAAUCGGAGGCUGACCAGCUGGCUGGGACAGCAGCGGCCACAACAGCGGUUUUCGGCGACGGCGGCGGAUCCGCAGCGGCGGUGGCGGUGCGGCGAAUCGAGGGAGAGAGAGAGACCGACCGAGAGAGAGAGGCCGACUGGGAGAGAGAGGGACGGAGCGUGCAGACCAGCAGACUUCCGGGACGGCUGUGCAUGCACAGCGGUGGCGGCGGCGGAACGGGAGAAAGACGGUGAGGAUGGCGGCGCGACGGUGAAGAGAGAAGAGAAGAGAAGAGAAGAGAAGAAAGAGAGAUGAGGAAGGAGAAAGGGGAUAUGCUGCGGUAUGUUCAAUUAGGGAUUUGGAAGAGAAAUUGGAUAAAAUCAAAUUUGGGGAUUUGGCAGUGAGGGAGAAACCGACGGGUUUGGUGAUAAGGAGUAUAGGCUUUAUGCCUUCUUAAUUAAUUGGAAUUGGGCCAUUAAAAUAGUGAAUUCAUUUUAGUUUUUGGGCCAAGGAAAUUCAUCAAGAAUGGGCCUAUCCAUGGAGUAUGAGAUAUACAUUAAUUAAUUGUUGGGCCACUUGAUGGAAUUAAUAAUUGGGCUGGAAAUGUUUUAAAAGAGAGUGGAGGAAAGGUCAAUAAAAUCGUUUUGGGCCGAGAUUUAA